CUGACUGUGAGGGAAUGAUUUCUUGAGUGACCAACUCACCUGUGACAUCUGCUUACAAGCACCUGGAGUAUCCAGAUGAGAAAGAAGAAAUGCUGAAAAGAUUUGUGUUACUUCAAUUGCAGUCCAAAAGGGCUAGCCAGGUUGAGCUCUCUGUAAAAAUUGAGAGUUUUAAAAGCUUAACAUAGAAAUUGGAGGAGGAAGAAGGUCCUGAGGCACUGCUGAGAGAGUUCUGAGCUUGGGGAAAUGCUGCUUUACCUGUUCUCAGCUUCUAAGAUCUUGUGCCACAGUUGCAAGACCAAUAAGAAAGGAAACAAAACUCAGCACUUGCACAUUGCUUCUCUCUUUUGCCCAAUUCCUAAAGUCCCAAAGUGUCUUUCAAACUGCACAGAGGAGACUUGUAGCCAUGAUUCUAUGGAGACAAAGCUACACCAGAGAGGAGAAAACUUGCAGCACAUCCAGGAGCUCUGCCCUGCUGGCCUCUCUACAGGCUCAAAUGCUCAUGCAGGGAAGGAUGGCUCCCCAGGAGGAGGAGGAGAAUGGCUAAAGCCAUACAAAGGAGAGGGAGGUUUAGAGCUCCUGAAUGCAUCCUGGUCUCUGCUUCUCAUGCUAAGAAGCAAUUGAAAUAUUAAAGGUAAUAAAACAUGAU
rnacentral:lncRNA from 1 species